GUAGAGGAUGCUUCGGGCGCGGCGCCGGGCUAAGUCCCUUGGAACGGGGCGUCAUAGAGGGUGAGAAUCCCGUAUGUGCCCGGCGACCCAGCCCAUGUGAAGCUCCUUCGACGAGUCGAGUUGUUUGGGAAUGCAGCUCAAAAUGGGUGGUAAAUUUCAUCUAAAGCUAAAUACUGGCCAGAGACCGAUAGCGCACAAGUAGAGUGAUCGAAAGAUGAAAAGCACUUUGGAAAGAGAGUCAAACAGUACGUGAAAUUGUUGAAAGGGAAGCGCUUGCAACCAGACCUGCCCGCGGGUGACCAGCCGCCCCUUCGGGGGCGGUGCAUGCGCCCGUGAACAGGCCAGCAUCGGUUCGGGCGGCCGGAUAAAGGCCCUGGGAACGUAGCUCCUCUCGGGGAGUGUUAUAGCCCUCGGCGCCAUGCGGCCCGCCCGGACCGAGGACCGCGCUUCGGCUAGGAUGCUGGCGUAAUGGUUGCAAGCGGCCCGUCUUGAAACACGGACCAAGGAGUCUAACAUCUAUGCGAGUGUUUGGGUGUCAAACCCAUGCGCGCAAUGAAAGUGAACGGAGGUGGGAACCCCUCGAGGGCGCACCAUCGACCGAUCCUGAUGUCUUCGGAUGGAUUUGAGUACGAGCAUAGCUGUUGGGACCCGAAAGAUGAUGAACUAUGCCUGAAUAGGGUGAAGCCAGAGGAAACUCUGGUGGAGGCUCGCAGCGGUUCUGACGUGCAAAUCGAUCGUCAAAUUUGGGUAUAGGGGCGAAAGACUAAUCGAAUCAU
rnacentral:rRNA from 1 species